GAUGAACGCUGACAGAAUGCUUAACACAUGCAAGUCAACUUGAACUUCGGUUUGGGUGGCGGACGGGUGAGUAACGCGUAAAGAACUUGCCUCACAGAUAGGGACAACAUUUGGAAACGAAUGCUAAUACCUGAUAUUAUGAUUAUAUGGCAUCGUAUAAUUAUGAAAGCUAUAUGCGCUGUGAGAGAGCUUUGCGUCCCAUUAGCUAGUUGGAGAGGUAACGGCUCACCAAGGCGAUGAUGGGUAGCCGGCCUGAGAGGGAGAUCGGCCACAAGGGGAGAGAGACGGGGCCAUGACUCAUACGGGAGGAAGGAGUGGAGAAUAUCGGACAAUAGACCAAGAGAGUGAUCAAGGAAUUCUGUGUGCAAGAUGAAGUUUUUCGGAAUGAAAAAUGCUGUCAGUAGGGAAGAAAAAAAUGACGGUACCAAAAGAAAAAGUGACGGCUAAAUACGUG
rnacentral:rRNA from 1 species